UUUAUUCUUGAGUUAUAAAUUAUCUGACCCAACAAAAUUAUGUUUGAAUUAAGUUAAAUUUGAUCGUGAGUAAAAAAGUAAAAUCAGUCCGAUUAUACUUAAUUGGGUCGAAUUUAAAAUUAGAUUACAUCCAUCUAGUCUAAACCACUUAUACAAUUAUAUUUAAGUGUCAUUAAUCCCGUUUAUUAUAUUGUUUUUUAACAUUUUUAUUUAUUAUAAAGAUAACACUUCUAUUUUUUAGAAAAAUAUUUUAAUUAUCUUAAUACAGUUCUUAUUACGAAAACGAUUACCUUUGUUUUUCAAAUUCGGCAACUAAGACUUUGUCAAAGCUUUUCAAAUUGUUACAAUUUAUUUUCAGGUCAUGUAGCAUUGUUGCAAUGUAUAUUCAGGUUAUAAUUUGGGUUUACUGUGACUUGGUCAAAUAAAUUAAAAUGACGAUGUUUUAAACUUUCCUCAAACACAGCAUUUCAGAAG
rnacentral:lncRNA from 1 species